rnacentral:snRNA from 1 species
GGAUGUGAGGGCGAUCUGGCUGUGACACCGGUCACUCUGUUGAUCGCCCAGGGUUGAUGUGGCUGAUCUGGCAGCUAGGCAGGAGUCCCCCCCCCCCCGCACCCAACCCCUGUGCAUCCCCCCGAGGCUGUGCAAAGGGUCAAAGAGGACGAAUUUCUCCGUGGAGAAGGACCGUUCUGCAGUCAAGGGUAAUGAGUGACCACGCUCCCCUGCUAGGACCGCCAAACAAGCCCUCAAGGUCCAUUUGUAGGGGGACGUAGGGUGGUCAGACUUCUGAGGCUCCAGGAGCACCCAGAGGCGCUGCCUAUAGCCAUCUGCUUUUCUUU